rnacentral:rRNA from 1 species
AACGUAGGACGCAAGCGUUAUCCGGAGUUAUUGGGCGUAAAGCGCGUGUAGGCGGUUUCUUAAGUCUGAUGUGAAAGCCCUGGGCUCAACCCAGGAAGUGCAUUGGAUACUGGGAGACUUGAAUACGGGAGAGGGUAGUGGAAUUCCUAGUGUAGGAGUGAAAUCCGUAGAUAUUAGGAGGAACACCGGUGGCGAAGGCGGCUACCUGGACCGAUAUUGACGCUGAGACGCGAAAGCGUGGGGAGCAAACAGG